rnacentral:piRNA from 1 species
UUGGACAUGAGUGUUAUGAGGCCCAUCA